AGUUCAGGUCUAAAUAUCCUAAAGGUACCAGAUCUUGUUUGAAUAUGGAAGCUAAGCAGGGUCAUCCCUGGCUAGUACUUGAAUGAAAAAUAGCCAAUGAAUACAAGGUGCUAUAAUUC
rnacentral:rRNA from 11 species